AUUCUAAGUGUGUUUACAAUUAAAGAGCUACAGUGAAAUAAAAUGAAUUCUGUAAGUAUCUAUGAACUACAUUGAUAAUAAUAAUUUUACUUUGAAAACUUUGAGUUCUAGUUUAGAAAAUAUAUCUUUUUCAGUCAAGAAAGGCAGCACCCAUGACAAAAGAUGAGACGAUGAUUCUAGCAGAACUUGUGGCGGCAAAAAAACAUUUAAAUAAUAAGGCAACAAAUGCCACAAACAAUAAAUUGAAGGAGCAGGCUUGGCAAACCCUUGUAAAUGAUUUUAAUUCGUCGAUUCGUCGUUUCCCACGAACUCUAUCACAGCUUCGACUAAAAUGGGAAAACUUAAAGAACGCUACGGCAACAUAAGAAACAACCUUAGUAAGGUUGGAGGUGGUAAGGAUUGCAGAUGAAAUUUUGGAUAAAGCAUGCACAUUGUUGUAGGUCACAUAUAAUAUUUUUAACACUUUUACAGCCAAGCGGAAACAAGAUGGAAGAAAAGAAAUGCAAGGCUAGCAUAGGAACAAUGCAUUAGCAGAAUAUCUAAUAGCAAAAAAGAGACUUGACUUGGAAAAUAAAGAAAAAGAGAUUGUUGUAGCAAAAGUUAAGUUAGAUUUAGAUAAUGCUAGUUAAAAAAAUAAAAAAUUACUUAAAAGGAAUAUUAAAUUUCAUAAAUUAAGUAGGCAAUAAUAAUUUUAUGUUAGAUAGUUUUUUAAGUAUAUGUACAAAUUCUAAAUUAAAUAUCUUGCAUGUACUAACUACCAUGUAAUUAUCAUUUUGGAAAAUAAAAAAUAGUCAAAU